UCUGCAAAGAAAUUUAAUUUAAAUUUGCAUAAAGGGAGUAAAUAUGUUACAUUAAGAUGGAAUGAAAUAUAGAAAAAAAUUCUUUCUAUAUUUUUAUUUCUAUGUUACGCACAAUUAUGAUGAAUAAUUUAUGAGAUUAUAGGAAAAAUAAAUUGAAAAAAGAAAGAAUAAAGUUUUCCCAUUCAUUUUGAAAUAAAAUAAAACAGCUCGGAAAUUUUCAAGUACAAUUAUAUUUUUUAUUAGAUAAGAGUAAACUGUCGAUAAAUGGUUCUGCACGUGGUUUCUACACGUGAAAAUAAUAUCAAAAAAUAUAGAAUAAAUUUUAUCAUUUGUUAUUAACAAAAUUGAAAUUAAAAAUCGUGUAAUGGGCUGGUUUUUCAAAUUUAAUUUUCUCAAAUACUAAUUUUUUAAAUAAAAGAAAUUUAUCAUUGGAAGGAUAAUUCUUGAUAAUUCUUGAUAAGUUGGCAUUCGUUGAAAGAAUAUAGAAUAUAAAUCAAGCUACAUAAACCUACCAAUAUAUAUAAUCAAGUCACAUGCAUUCUUAUAAUUGGCUGAAUUCAUCAUUUUUAUUAACUGUCACUAAUAGCAUAUAUCAGUGUGUGUUACAUUUGCUUUAUCAUCAGGAAAUUGCAUAAUACUUAUUGCUAAUUCAUAUUUUAUCGGAAAAUAGUCAAUAUUAUACUGGAAAAUUUUUCAAACUUGUUUUACUUAAAAAACUUUUUUUUUUCCCUAUACGAUUGUACUCUAUAUUCUUUAUUUUUCUAUAUUUCAUGUAAUAAACUUUCAUUUUAUUCCAUCAAACAUAUUUUUUAGUAUUCAUAGCAAAUAAAAAUGAUUAUUUUUAUUAAUUUUAUAAUUUUUUUUUUCAGUGAAUUAAAUUUGGUUAAAAUGAAACAUGUACAAAUAACUUUGGACGAAGAAAUUUGAAUUAUUUAAAUUUGGUGUGCAGAAACAUGGUAUGCAGAUAAAAUGUUUUAGGAGCAGAAGAAUUGUGCUUCAAUUAAAAAUAUACGAGAGAAAAAAAAAAAAAGAAAAACGACUUACUCAAGGAAUUAGACAUGGGCUCGUCCGCGAGGAAAUAUUUACACAUAUGAUCAAUCACAUCCUCGAAUCUGUCUUCUGGUAUCUCUUGAAUAGAGAAUUUUAUCGGAA